rnacentral:tRNA from 1 species
ACUGGGGUGGCAGAGCAUGGUGAAUUGCGAAAGGCCUAAGCCCUUUAUACCAGAGGUUCAAAUCCUCUUCCCAGUU